rnacentral:rRNA from 1 species
UACGUAGGGUGCGAGCGUUAAUCGGAAUUACUGGGCGUAAAGCGUGCGCAGGCGGUCUGUUAAGACCGAUGUGGAAUCCCCGGGCUUAACCUGGGAACUGCAUUGGUGACUGGCAGGCUUUGAGUGUGGCAGAGGGAGGUAGAAUUCCACGUGUAGCAGUGAAAUGCGUAGAGAUGUGGAGGAACACCGAUGGCGAAGGCAGCCCCCUGGGUCAAGAUUGACGCUCAUGCACGAAAGCGUGGGGAGCAAACAGG